UACAGAGGUCUCAAGCGUUGUUCGGAUUCAUUGGGCGUAAAGGGUGCGUAGGCGGCGCGGUAAGUCGGGUGUGAAAUCUUGGAGCUUAACUCCGAAAACUGCAUUCGAUACUGCCGUGCUUGAGGACUGGAGAGGAGACUGGAAUUUACGGUGUAGCGGUGAAAAUGCGUAGAUAUCGUAAGGAAGACCAGUGGCGAAGGCGGGGUCUCUGGACAGUUUCCUGACGCU
rnacentral:rRNA from 1 species